GGGGAUUUAGCUCAGCGGCAUAAGCGCCUGCCUUGCAAGCAGGCACUCGUGAGUUCGAUCCCCG
rfam:Cavia porcellus supercont2_30 genomic scaffold, whole genome shotgun sequence.